rnacentral:rRNA from 1 species
GGAUUCUAUAGUAAUGGCGAGUGAUAGAGACGAGCUCACUUUGGAAAUUGGGGCUUCUUUGGCCUUGAAUUGUGGUCUCGAGGUGUGCUGCCAGUGGAGGCGCAGAUGUUGGCCUCUUGGAAGAGAGCAUCAGUGAGGGUGAGAGUCCUGUCUGUCUUUUGCAGCCCUCCGCACACGGUGCCCUUUCUGCGAGUCAUGCUCCUUGGAAUUGGAGUGUAAAAAAGGUGGUAAAUUUCAUCUCAAGCUAAAUAUUGGGUCGAGACCGAUAGAAAACAAGUACCAUGAGGGAAAGAUGAAAAGGACUUUGAAAAGAGAGUUAGAAGUGCCUGAAAUUGCUGAAAACGAAGAGAAUGGAACUAGCACAGCUUUGCGAGAUUGUCACGUGGUAAAGUGCACCAGCGACACGUGUUGCUUCUCGCCUCGUGCGUCCACUCCAGCUUGUGGCCGAGGAAACCGCUGGGGACAUGGUGCUCAGCCUGCGGGCGGGCAAAUGUUCUCUGCAGAACUCGUUUCGCGAACUGAAGCUUGACU